AGAAAGCAACGAGAACCGCGGGGCGGGAAGAGCGGGAAGAAGCCGCGGGGGCACCCGGUUCUGCACAGCCGCGUGUGGAGAGGAGCGGGGCGGAAGUGGCGGGAAACUGGAAACGGCGGCGAUGUGUGCCAAUAAGUGUGCGCGCGCGUGCACAACACGCACUAGAGCAGCGCGGCCAUCCCCGCAAGCAGAGGGGGAGCGAUGCGUGUAGUUACAGAUAACGUUGUGUCCCCAUGCACGUUAACACGCCUCAAGCCCGGUAGCACAGGUUUGCUGCGCAGCCACACAGAGCAGACCCCUCCCCCCAACAAAACAGAACCAGAAAAAACCCUUCCGGGCGCUGCCCGCCCCGCGCUGCGACGCGGCCGGCAGGAAGCACGGCAACGCCGGCAAAGCCCGCUUCGCGCCGGGCGGCGCAGCCAGGGUGCGCGGACAGGCACCACGUGACGCUGCGCAGAGCCAGACCGCGCACGUGGCAGCCAUGCCGCGGCCCCGUGAGCUGGAGCAGAACGGCGCGGUCUGAUUGGCUGGGGCGUUUCCCUCCCCGCCAAUCAGCAGACGGCAGGAGGAAAGUUUCCCCCCACGUGCCCUAGCGACAAGGCCUCGGAAGAACCGGAAGGAGAUGCAGAUGGGGGAAGAGGCGAGGUAGGAGAAAAGCCAGUCAGAGAAACGGGAUGUGAAGGAAAGGGACUCUGGACAGUGGCAUCUCUGCCUUUAGGUCUCGAUCACGUCUUAGCCAAAUUUCAGCUUUGUGAGCCUUUGGGCGAGCUCCCUGUAACUCAGAAACGAGUCUCUGCCCUUGAUGUUGUUGCACUUUUGCAGCAGUCAGGUGGAAGGUGGACAACCCUGUAAUCAAGUUGUCACCACCAUCAUGUUUGUAAAGGCCACGGAUCUGGUUGGUGGUCUUGCACAGCACAGCCCCACCCUGUAAUCAGUGGCUAUUCCCGGCCGGUCGGAGAGGAGCCCCUGUAAGCUGGGUGGACUCCUUCCACUGGUCUUAGAUAGCCGGAGCAGUUUGCAGCAUUGUGCCGCAGGGCGGCCUUGCAGACCAGAGCCGAGUCUCAUGGGAUGACAGCAAACUCUUUAGACUCCAGAGCUUGACUUUCCUGUGGUCUGGGUUGAAGUCUGUGGCCUCCUCUCUGAGCCCUGUGUGCAGGCACCUGUCCUUUUUCAUGCACCUGUGUCUGACACUCCAUGUCUGGACCCCUGGACCGCCCUGUAACAAGGGUGCAAGUCCCGUGCCCCAGUCGAGGGCUAAAUAGCACAGAGCAGUGGACCGCCCUGUAAGCAGGGCCCAGGUCUCUGUGCCUUUGGGGACAGCUCUGUUCUUUGCCCUGGCGGUCUUCCCUGUAAGCAGGGUUCUGGGCCUUUGCCUUUUGCCCCCCCCCGUGGGCAGUGUGGCUAGUCAGAUGGACCGUGCCCUGUAACGAGGGUGCGAACCGCACGUCUCUUGGUGGAGAACUAGGUUCUGCAGAGCAGUGGACCACCCUGUAAGCAGGGUGCAGGUCACAGUGUGCUUUUGUGGACAGCUUUGUCCUUUCCCUGGUCUGACAGCCCUCCCCAUAAGCAGGGCUCGGCCUUUUCCUUUUGCCUCCUAUGGGCAGUGUGGCUAGCGAGACGGACCGUGCCCUGUAACGAAGGGAGCGAGUCCCGUGUCACUUGAUGGAGGGCUGGCUUCUGCAGAGCUGUGGCCUGCCCUGUAAGCAGGGUCCAGGUCACAGUGUGCCUUUGUGGACAGCUCUGUCCUUUCCCUGGCCUGGCGGCGCCCCCUGUAAGCAGGGCUCUGCGCCUCUCCCUUUUGCCCACCGCGGGCAGCCUGACUCCCCAGGCGGCCCGGGCCCUGUAACGAGGGCACCGGUUUCAGCCUUCUCUUCUCGCCCCCUGGGAGCGGAGGAGGAUUUUCAGGGUAAGGUUCGAGGUCAAGCAGUUUGCAGCGUCGAGCUCCUUUCCAGCCUGGGAACACUUUUUCCCUUGUCAGUGUGUGGAGAGCGAGAGAGAGGUGCGCCUGGGAGCGAAAGCGUUUGUUAUCUUCUUUUUGUUGUUAAAAUCGCUGCAGCGUAUUUUAUUUUCUUUCCAGUGCUGGAAAAGGGGCGAGAUGCGUCCUCGUAGCCUUCUCCUCCCACCUCCAUACCUAGGGGGACGGAUUUCCAGGCCUUUUGGUCUCGGGGAGCAUUAGGCCCCCUCUCUAAUACUUUUGGGCACACGGCCUCCCUGUAUUCCAGGGUACAGGCCUUAGACCCCCUCUUUUUGGGUUCCUUUGGGCACUUGGUAGCUCGAGUGCAGUUCCUGCUCUCCUUGAGAGACAGCCACGUAUUCCCCACCCGAGUCCCUGGGGACGAGUGCCCUGGCACUUGGCCAGCCGUUGCUCUGCGCCCCCACCCCCGGCCUGCAGCCUGUAAGCAGGGUCCGGGCCCCCUUGAUUCUCCGGGUCGGGUCUCGCCCCACUCGGUGAGGUUGGCCACAGAUGAUACCCACAGACUACAAGGCAGGUUGCAGGCUUGUGGAGGGUACUGGGUGCGCUGGGACCCCUGAGGCUUUGUGACCUUCCUGUAACUCAGGUCCAGGUCUCUGCUCUGCUGCUCCUGGCACCAUUGAGAUGGUCUCCUCUCGCACCCUGUAAACAGGGCUGCGCCCCCCCAACCCCUCUGACCUUGGGGGGGAGGAGGCCUCUUUUAGCCCUUUGGGCUCUGUGACAGUCGUGAUGGGAGGCUGAACCUUUGUGUCCCCAGACACGGGGCUGCUUUGAGCCCUGAUUGAGACUGCCUGAGGCACCCGUCAGCUGGCAUUCAGGGCUUUACAGGUUCUCUCUGGGCUUCAUGCCCCGCAGCCAGCUGUGUGCAGGGAGCACCGCCCUGUAAGCAGGGUUGCUGGUGUCUGUGGUCACCUUCACGGUGCCGUCCUAGCACUUCUGUCCAGAGUCCUGGCCCUUCGCACUCUGCUCCUGGCUGGCCCAGAUGUCGGCAGCCCAGACCACAGAUGUCUGCCCUCCCCACUUUCUGCGGACAGAGGACAGUGGCUACAGGUCCAGAGGAAGAAGCAGAGAAGACAACAGACAAAUAGGAGUUAUCCUAUAACCAGGGCAGAAAACAGUGCCAGCCCACUGGGAGACAAAGGUCCCUGAAGAGCAGCUGGAGGAGGAGGAGCAGAAGCAGGACAAGAAAGCUCAGAAACAACAAGUGUGGGUUGGUGUGGACAGGAGGAAGAGAGGCACAUGUUUAAUGUAUGCUUAGAUAAGUACAGAUGGUGGAGACUGUCAUGUGCAUCUCUACACUUUCAAACGCUCAGUAGGAGCAAGCUGCUGCACGCUUCAAGUUGCACCAUGGACUCGGUCUUGGGUUUGGCCCUAUUUGUAGGCAGUGAGGUUGAGGUGGUGUGCGUAUUGGGUUGGCCCCGAUUUGUGGACAAUGAGGUUGAGGUGUUGUGCUAGUUUUGCGUAUUGAUAUGUGGCAGUCUAGGUUUUUGCAGGUUGUUUUGCUUUGCUAGUUCAGGAGUUGAUCAAAAUAGAUGUGACUGAAGGUAGUAUGUAGGGUUUUCUGAGUUGGGUUGUCAGUGUUGGUGUAGAAAUGCAGGUUUGUGCUCAGUUCGGUUAGUGGCUUGGCUGUAGCUUGCUUUAGCCGUAGGUUGUGGGGCCAGUUUGAGGCUGUUUGUGGUGCAAUUUGGUUGCGUCUGUAAAUUGAAGCUCCAUGGGCGUUUGAAAGGGUUAAUCUCCAUCUCCACGCAUGAAGAUCUCCUGUGUCCAAAUGAUCCUAGCGGUAGUUGGCGUGCUCAGCGUCAAACCGGACAUGCACAAUCGAACAAUAAACAGUGUAAAAAAACUUUUCACCUUGUGCCUGGUGCUCUUCUACACUGAGAGGACUUGGCCCUUACCCUUUCCUGGUGCAAGCUGGCUGGCGGAAUAAACUUUUUCUUUUUGUCUACUGAUCUGAUCUGUCGUACUUGUUGAAUAAAAAUAUUUCCUAUUCUGAUUUAAAAAUGGUAAUAUAAUGUGGCAGGUGCUGCCUAGUCACCAAUUUACAACUGUUAAUGCACUGUAGGAAAUCAGUCCUGAUUUAUUUGAGGAAAAUAAAAAAGAAGGUACGGUGAAGGUGUGGUGCUUGGGUGCAAUCUGUUGAAGUUCAGCUGUCUCUUGUCUCAAAAGAAAAAAAUGGUCCCAAUAAAAAGAAAAUGCUCAGGAAACUUUGUGAGCUUCUUGGUGUUUUUUUAGUCCAGCUGUUUCAGACCGUCUUGUUUGAAUGCCUUGAGUACACGUCCUGCUAUUUCUAAUGGCAUGGUGUGGUUGCUUUUUAAUAAAAACAAAAUGGGCCUGAGGAUGCAUCUUAAGGAACGAGGUCCAAGCUCUCCCUGAGCUACCACCUAACUGGCUGGGUUUGGAUUGUGCUGCCGUAGGAUGGUAAGGCAGAGACACAGCUGCCAGGCAGGCACUGGGGGUGUGUAGGGCUCAGCAUCCUCCACAGCUAUGACCUGCACUUGGGGCAUGAUCAGUCCUGGGGGUGGUGCAGUAUCCUUUUUGGGCUGUUUCCUUAAGCACAAGAAGGGACUGAGGCAAGGAGCAGUUCAGUGCUGUUACCGUCGAAAACUGCUUCUGCAACGUUCCCCAGGACUGGAUGCACGGGGUUUUGAAGGAGUGAUAGUUUAACAGGGUGCUGUGUCCCCUUUUAGGACCACUGGGACUGAGGACUAUUGGGGCAAGGGAGUGGCCUAGAGAUGCCUGGGUCUCUGCCAGUGCAGAGUUCACGACUCCCCCAAGCUCAGCCCCUCCAACACCAAGGCUGUGGGCAGCUACUAGUCCCCUCCAGCUGGGCUCAGAAAGCCUCCUGCUCUUGCUGAGGGUGAGGGGUGCAGGGCCACCCACAGUGCCGCAGGCCGGGAGCCCCAAUCCCUGCUGCAAGCAUUCAGCCCACUGCAAACCAUCAGUGCUGGGUGCUCUACUGGUGCCAUGGGCAGGGUGCUUCUGUUUGGGGGCUCAGGCCAAGCUGUGACCCAGCAGCGGCCAGGUGAGACAUCGACAUUGGAAAGGCUCCAGGUCGGGAUCGGUGCUGCUGAAGCUCUGCAGAAGCGGGGCCUGUGCGAGCCCCCCAGACCAGGCUCAGCUGCACCCUGACAUCGAGGUGAGCUUUGCCCCCGCGUCCAAUUCUGUGCGCUGAGCGGGAGAAGGGCUUGCAGCAAUUGCUGCUGGUUUCAGAUGAGCUGCACAGUUGCAGUCUGGGUCUAGGGGAUGCCCAGCAGGAGGAAGGGAAGUGCUGGGGGCUCCAAGAGCUGGUUGCUAACUGGGUUUGCAUCCGGCCAAGCAGGACACUUGUGGUCAGAGCCAAAGAGGGGCAGUGGCUCUUCCAGAGGCUUGUAACCGUGCUGGUUGGAUGCAGCUGGCUCCGGUUAGAAGCAAGGGCUUUGAGGGGCUCUGCAUUUGGGCUGACUGCACUUUCCUGCCUCUAUUUAUAACGUGCCAGUUGCUGUAGGAAAGCAAAGCAAGUCUCUAGGUCCAUCAACCGUGCGAACUCCAAUUAAAUUUCCAAGGCUUUGUGUGGGAAAGGAUGAAUCUAAGAGAGAUUAUAAUGACGCUGGUCCUGCUGCUGCUUCAGAGCUUUAACGAGGAGCCUGCCGGUUUGGACACACGAGGUCAAGAUUUGCCAUCACCAGCUUCUGUUGCAUAAGGGGAAAUCUGUGCUCAGGAGUUGGAUGUUGGUGUACUUUUUGGCGGGGGGAGCACAGAGAACAGGGCAGUUGGGAGGUGAGGGAUCUCUUGUUCAAAUCGUCCCUGCAUGGAGAGGGUGGGACAGAAGCAUCCCUUGUCUACCUGUCGCCUGCGAGGGAAGUAGCCGCAUCGCUGCAGACCGCAGCCAGCUCUCUAAUCAGCUCUUUAAAUGUAUUAAAGCUUUCCAUUUUGGUUUCACGCCCAGUAUAUUUUGACAACUGCAGUUAGUCUUCAAAAUUGUGGAGGCCCGUAGGGCAUGUGGCAAGAAUCUAAAAUGCCUAUUAUGAAGGGUUUGGUUUUGUGGGGGGGGUUUUUUGCAGUCAACUUUUUAAUACCUUUCACUAUGAGCUUCCAAAGCAGUAUCAUGUUUAUCAAGUCAUCAUACAUCAUACAGCUAUUUUAUUUUUUUUUUACCAAUAGUAAUUAGCCCUUUUUAAUUUCAGAUUGCCUAAUAAACAUUUAAUCAUUGUGUCUAGUGUCUACACCACCGAGGUAGGUAAGAAUUCUUCAUCUCACAGAUGAGUAGGUUGCAAAGGGUAAAACUUUGCAGAAGUGUCUGAAGUCUGACUGUGAGUCAGUGGGAAUUUCAACUCCCACAUCACUCGUUUUUUCAAAUGGCAUUUUAGAUUAAUAACUCAUUGGGGCAGACGUUACCAGCAGCUUCUGCCUGUGGUCCCGUACUGCUGGAAGAGGAGCUUCUACCAAAGGCCAGCACAGAGCCCCGAGGAGUCUGGUGAUACGUGCUGUGUUUCAACUGCACAGCCAUUUAUUUGCAGGAAGGGAAGAGAGACUUCCUAGCUGAAAUCACAGGGGGGACUGCAGUUAGGCAACAUGUGUAACCACUCAAAUUGGAAUUGAGUCAGAAGGAAAUUUUACCACCGCCUGCUUUUGUCAAGCUUCAGGGAGGUUUUUGGCAAGUGGUGAGGAUCUUUUUUUCGCAGUGUGAGAGAGAAGCAACCUGGCAAAAAGCAAGGUAGGGGCACGCUGUCUUUCCCAGGCGUGAUCCAAAUGGGCAGCCGGGACUCUGGUGCUCACCCCCAUCCCGGUUUGUGACUUGUGCAGAACGUCUGCCGGCGUGAAGACCCGUGGCACGAGCAAAGCGAUGCCGAGCGGCCGCCGUUGUUCCACAUUUGUGUUGUGUUGCAUGUACUAAUGGAUGUUUCCUCUCUUUCUCCAGGUCUCUCUCUCAACUUGGGCAUCUCAUCUCAACUUAGCAAAUCUGCCGGAGGCAAGUCGCAACUCCUGCGCCUUGGUUUCCCCCGUCUGUAAAAUAGUUCUUGCACCCAGGGAUGUCAGAGGUUUAUCUGAUAGUUGUGCUACCGUUUGAAACCCUUUCAUGAGAAGUAUUGUGGAAAUGCGGAUUGUAUCGCUUAUUCUUUUUGGUUUUUUCAAAGCUGAGCUAUCAGCAAUGCAUCUGAAAUGGCUUGGUGCACUGACCGCUGUAACAUUUUAACUUCUGUCUACAGUCAAGAAGAGGAUGAUGAUUCACGCUCCCGAUAUUACGUCCCCAGUUACGAAGAGGUUAUGAACACUGGCUACACCGAGACAAGAGACUUGGACAGAAGCACCAGGAUCAGCAUGUCUCUACCCUCCUAUGAAUCUCUAACUGGGAUCGAUGAAAACACACAGACCUCAGCGACCGCUGCUACAGGCCCCGAAGCCAACGCGGAGCGGCAGCCAAGCAGACACAGCUCUCGCUUGAGCAAACGCCUGAAACCCCUGAAGGUUCGGAGAAUUAAGUCCGAAAAACUGCACCUAAAGGACAUCCGGGUUAACCUGCCAGACAAAAAUUCAAGUCAUAUAACGAUAGAGCCAUUGGCCCCUCCUCCACAGUAUGAUGAGAUUCAGGACAAAGCUCCAGAUAGUAGACAAGGGACUUAAUAUCUAUGGACUGUCCAGGUAAAAACACUACUUGAGCUUUGAUUUCUGGGUACAAAACAGUGAAAUUUCCACAAGCUUGAAAGAGAUCAAGGAAAUGCUGGACUCUAUAUACCUCUUUUUUUUUUAGAUGGACCAAAUGAGCCUUUCAACAGAUGGUUGUUCAUGAACACUGGUGCAUCUGAUCUUCUGAAAGAAAUGAAGUUAAGAAGUACUAAAUCUAUACUCUUUAAAUUAAGGAGCACCUUGCCUGCAUCUUUUAUAGUCUCUUUCUAAGCCACUAAAGUGUUGUUGUUUGGGGUUUUUAACAAUUUUACAUGUGGAAAAGAGGGGGGGUGGGGGGGAUUAACUCUUUUUUUUUCCCCCUUUAGUUUGACAUUUUUUCUUUCAUUUAAGAAAAUACAAAUAAAGAACAUUGUAGCUUUCUCUGCUUCCAUUAAAAAUGGAGUUGGGCUAAUGGUAGAAAGCAAGCCUACGUUUUUGCAACGUUUCAUAGUUUGCCGAGAAAUAAUCCACUGAAUGAAACGAGAACGUGAAAUCCAGCACGCAUUUAUUUAAUCGUUUUACCGUUAACCCGCGAUGCCAGUGAGGAGCUUUCUAUGUGCUGUUGGCCAAAGGGGGAGCAUCAUUUUGGGCGCUCCGGUAUGAAGGGACAGUCUGUUCAAGAUUGACUUGUGUAAUUUCGGUCAGUUGGACACCGCUCUAGCGUCCCAUGGCAAACGUGUUCAAAAUGCUCGAAGCUAGUGUUGAGUGUGUGCUGUGCAAACAGACUUCAAAAAUAAAUAUUUUGUAUAUAG